UGCACUCACUAUUGCAAGUCGCUCUGGAUAAGAGCGUCUGCUAAAUGACUAGCA
rfam:Salmo salar isolate Sally breed double haploid chromosome ssa01, whole genome shotgun sequence.